AGAUUGAACGCUGGCGGCAGGCCUAACACAUGCAAGUCGAGCGGUAGAGAGGUGCUUGCACCUCUUGAGAGCGGCGGACGGGUGAGUAAUGCCUAGGAAUCUGCCUAGUGGUGGGGGAUAACGUUCGGAAACGGACGCUAAUACCGCAUACGUCCUACGGGAGAAAGCGGGGGACCUUCGGGCCUCGCGCCAUUAGAUGAGCCUAGGUCGGAUUAGCUAGUUGGUGAGGUAAUGGCUCACCAAGGCGACGAUCCGUAACUGGUCUGAGAGGAUGAUCAGUCACACUGAACUGAGACACGGUCCAGACUCCGUACGGGAGGCAGCGAGGUGGGGAAUUAGUUAGGACAAGUGGGACGAAAGCCUAGAUACCAGCCAUGCCGCGUGUGUGAAGAAGGUCUUACGGAUUAGUAAG
rnacentral:rRNA from 1 species